AGGAGACUGGGAGAUGGAGGGCAGAAAGCACGAGCGGCCCGAGAGCCUGCUGGCGCCAGCGCAGUUCUGUGCGGCCGAGCAGGACGUGAAGGCGCUCGCCGGGCCGCUGCAGGCCAUCCCAGAGAUGGACUUCGAGCCGUCCCCCGCGGAGCCGCUGGGCAACGUGGAGCGCUCGCUGCGCGGUCCGCCCGAGCUCCUGCCUGAUGCGCGCGGCUUCGUGCCCGCUGGCUACGAGGAGUUCGAGUACGGGGGAGAGAUCUUCGCGCUGCCCGCGCCCUACGACGAGGAGCCCUUCCAGGCGCCAGCGCUCUUCGACAACUGCUCGCCGGCCUCCUCUGAGUCCAGCCUGGACAUCUGCUUCCUGCGGCCG
rnacentral:lncRNA from 1 species